CAGUAGCCGCGGUAAUACAGAGGGUGCGAGCGUUAAUCGGAUUUACUGGGCGUAAAGCGUGCGUAGGCGGCUUUUUAAGUCGGAUGUGAAAUCCCUGAGCUUAACUUAGGAAUUGCAUUCGAUACUGGGAAGCUAGAGUAUGGGAGAGGAUGGUAGAAUUCCAGGUGUAGCGGUGAAAUGCGUAGAGAUCUGGAGGAAUACCGAUGGCGAAGGCAGCCAUCUGGCCUAAUACUGACGCUGAGGUACGAAAGCAUGGGGAGCAAACAGGAUUAGAUACCCCAGUAGUCCCUGUCUCUUAUCC
rnacentral:rRNA from 1 species